rnacentral:rRNA from 1 species
GUGGGGAAUCUUCCGCAAUGGACGAAAGUCUGACGGAGCAACGCCGCGUGAGUGAAGAAGGUUUUCGGAUCGUAAAACUCUGUCUUUUGGGGCGAACGUGAGUAUGGUGAACAAUCAUAGUCAGUGACGGUACCAAAGGAGGAAGCCACGGCUAACUACGUGCCAGCAGUCGCGGUAAUACGUAGGUGGCAAGCGUUGUCCGGAAUUAUUGGGGGUAAAGAGCGCGUAGGAGGGAUAGUCAGUCUGUUGUAAAAGGGCGGGGGUCAACCCCGUGAUCGCAAUGGAAACAGCUAUUCUUGAGUGCAGGAGAGGAAAGUGGAAUUCCCAGUGUAGCGGUGAAAUGCGUAGAUAUUGGGAGGAACACCAGUGGCGAAGGCGACUUUCUGGACUGUGUCUGACGCUGAGGCGCGAAAGCCAGGGGAGCGAACGGGAUUAGAUACCCCAGUAGUCC